ACGCACGCUGGCGGCAUGCCUAACCCAUGCAAGUCGAACGAGACCUUCGGGUCUAGUGGCGCACGGGUGCGUAACACGUGGGAAUCUGCCCUUUGCUUCGGAAUAACAGUUAGAAAUGACUGCUAAUACCGGAUGAUGUCGAAAGACCAAAGAUUUAUCGGCAAAGGAUGAGCCCGCGUAGGAUUAGGUAGUUGGUGGGGUAAAGGCCUACCAAGCCGACGAUCCUUAGCUGGUCUGAGAGGAUGAUCAGCCACACUGGGACUGAGACACGGCCCAGACUCCUACGGGAGGCAGCAGUGGGGAAUAUUGGACAAUGGGCGAAAGCCUGAUCCAGCAAUGCCGCGUGAGUGAUGAAGGCCUUAGGGUUGUAAAGCUCUUUUACCAGGGAUGAUAAUGACAGUACCUGGAGAAUAAGCUCCGGCUAACUCCGUG
rnacentral:rRNA from 1 species